rnacentral:lncRNA from 1 species
GCAAUUCCAUAAUUCCAGAUAAAAGUAAGAAAGUGUAAACUGCUGAGGAAAAAACUAAUUAUGCAUAAAACAAGAAUCCAUGCGAGGCUCAGGAUUGUGGACCCCUAAGAGUAAAGGGUUGUGUCAAAAUAUUGUGGAUUGAAACUCAGCAACAAUAACCGCAGGCUGCAGUGAUUGCCCCGAGGCCGCAACGAUUGCCCCGAGGCCAUUCAACAUGCCAUGCCAAUGGGGACAAAAUCAAUAGAGUAACCGCAGGCUGCAGUGAUUGCCUUGAGGCCGCUGUGAGUCGCAAGGCCAUUUGACAUG